rnacentral:lncRNA from 1 species
CCAAUUAGAAAGGAUUCUAAUUGUUAAGUUCGGGUUCGCGCAGUUUGGACUUAAAUCAAUUAGAAGAGUUCUAAUCAAGUUGGGUCAACUCGCUAUUCUCUUUCCCCCCCUCUUUUCUUUUCUUUCUUUUUCUCCCAACCGAACCUCUCUUCUUCUCUUCACCGAAACAGGGGUUCCCCUGUUUCUUUCACAACCCAGCUCUCCCCC